ensembl:snRNA U6 U6 spliceosomal RNA
AUGCUUGUUUUGGCAGCACAAACACUGAAAUUGAGAACGAUACAGAGAAGAUGAGCAUGGCCCCUGCGCAAGGGUGACAGGCAAAUUCACGAAGCCUUCCAUAUUUAC